GGCUAUCCAGUUGGAAGGGACCUGUCAAGAAAGGCAUGAGGCCUUAGGAUGGUCACCCUUAGAGAGCAAGGCUGUGUAUUCACAGCACCAACAAAAACCAAACUCAAGGUUAAAAUUGCAGCCAGGUAUUUAGUUAACUUGUCAUCUUCAGUAUACUAUUUAUUUUUUUUCUGAAUUGAAUUGGAGAAAGUGAAAGAAGUGGAAUAGAACAGAGGAAGCAAGACAAAGAUAUAUGUGUGCACUCAGCUGGAGGGAGGGACCUCAGAGAUAAGAAGAGGGCAACACCCCCAGGUGACAGAGCUGGUAGCAGAGAUGGUGCUCAGAGGUGCCUGGACACUAAUUGAG
rnacentral:lncRNA from 1 species